rnacentral:rRNA from 1 species
AAAUUGAAGAGUUUGAUCAUGGCUCAGAUUGAACGCUGGCGGCAGGCCUAACACAUGCAAGUCGAGCGGAAACGAGUUAUCAGAACCUUCGGGGGACGAUAACGGCGUCGAGCGGCGGACGGGUGAGUAAUGCCUAGGAAAUUGCCCUGAUGUGGGGGAUAACCAUUGGAAACGAUGGCUAAUACCGCAUGAUGCCUACGGGCCAAAGAGGGGGACCUUCGGGCCUCUCGCGUCAGGAUAUGCCUAGGUGGGAUUAGCUAGUUGGUGAGGUAAGGGCUCACCAAGGCGACGAUCCCUAGCUGGUCUGAGAGGAUGAUCAGCCACACUGGAACUGAGACACGGUCCAGACUCCUACGGGAGGCAGCAGUGGGGAAUAUUGCACAAUGGGCGCAAGCCUGAUGCAGCCAUGCCGCGUGUGUGAAGAAGGCCUUCGGGUUGUAAAGCACUUUCAGUCGUGAGGAAGGUAGUGUAGUUAAUAGCUGCAUUAUUUGACGUUAGCGACAGAAGAAGCACCGGCUAACUCCGUGCCAGCAGCCGCGGUAAUACGGAGGGUGCGAGCGUUAAUCGGAAUUACUGGGCGUAAAGCGCAUGCAGGUGGUUUGUUAAGUCAGAUGUGAAAGCCCGGGGCUCAACCUCGGAAUUGCAUUUGAAACUGGCAGACUAGAGUACUGUAGAGGGGGGUAGAAUUUCAGGUGUAGCGGUGAAAUGCGUAGAGAUCUGAAGGAAUACCGGUGGCGAAGGCGGCCCCCUGGACAGAUACUGACACUCAGAUGCGAAAGCGUGGGGAGCAAACAGGAUUAGAUACCCUGGUAGUCCACGCCGUAAACGAUGUCUACUUGGAGGUUGUGGCCUUGAGCCGUGGCUUUCGGAGCUAACGCGUUAAGUAGACCGCCUGGGGAGUACGGUCGCAAGAUUAAAACUCAAAUGAAUUGACGGGGGGCCCGCACAAGCGGUGGAGCAUGUGGUUUAAUUCGAUGCAACGCGAAGAACCUUACCUACUCUUGACAUCCAGAGAACUUUCCAGAGAUGGAUUGGUGCCUUCGGGAACUCUGAGACAGGUGCUGCAUGGCUGUCGUCAGCUCGUGUUGUGAAAUGUUGGGUUAAGUCCCGCAACGAGCGCAACCCUUAUCCUUGUUUGCCAGCGAGUAAUGUCGGGAACUCCAGGGAGACUGCCGGUGAUAAACCGGAGGAAGGUGGGGACGACGUCAAGUCAUCAUGGCCCUUACGAGUAGGGCUACACACGUGCUACAAUGGCGCAUACAGAGGGC